rnacentral:misc_RNA from 1 species
GAUGAAGAACGUAGCGAAAUGCGAUAAGUAAUGCGAAUUGCAGAAUUCAGUGAAUCAUCGAAUCUUUGAACGCACAUUGCGCCCGCCAGUAUUCUGGCGGGCAUGCCUGUUCGAGCGUCAUUUCAACCCUCAAGCCCCAGCGGCCUGGUGUUGGGGACCGGCGACCUCGCCCGAGCCCGCCCUCCGGGGCGCGUGCCCGGUGCGUCCGCCGCCCCCGAAAUGAAUUGGCGGCCUCGUCGCGGCCUCCUCUGCGUAGUAGCACAACCUCGCAAGCGGGAGCGCGACGCGGCCACUGCCGUAAAACGCCCAACUUUUUUAGAGUUGACCUCGGAUCAGGUAGGAAUACCCGCUGAACUUAAGCAUAUCAAUAAGCGGAGGA